UAAUAUUAUUACAUUAAAAAAAUUGUGGUUAAAUAUUAAUCUUUUAUUAAUUUUAGAAUAGCAAAUGAGGUGGAACUGAGGAACAAUUAUAUAUUCCUGACGUAGCUGAGGAGGAGGAGGAGAUUGAGUAUGAAGAAGAUUUACCGUCGGAUGAAGAAGUGCUGAAUAAUAAAAGAGAAUUAAUAAAAUGCCUUGAAGAAACAGAAAUUAAACUCACAGAACUGCGCAACAAAGUACGCUUUGCGCGUCAAAUGUUGGAAUCGUAAUAUUUCAUGUGUGUUUUGUUUUUCUGUUCAUAUUUCUAAAAAAAAUGUAUUGGAAAUAAAUGUUUUGUUUCUAUUAAUAAAA